CCAUUUUAUAGCUCGUUCAGAGAUUGAUUUACAACGGGAACUGAAGCGAAAAAGAGAAAUGAACCUGGCACUAAGAAACUGAAUUAAUACAACACUGAAAUCAACCAAAAGGAAGCAAAUAACAACUAAAAAUCAACCCUCGAGCGGCAACAUCUUCGAACUUCAAAUGACUUCCAUUUUUAAACCAAAAUCCAGAAUCAAAAUGAAGAAGACGAACUCUAGAGAUUUGGAAAAAAAAACUUUUAACAAUAAUCACCAUGAACUGAAAUAUCAGAACACUCAAUGAUUCUUUUCUUCUUUUUUUUUGUUGCUUUUUUUUGUAUCAGAAGUAAUAAAAUGAAGAAGAGAAUGUAGAGAGUUUUGGGAGAAGUCCAAUUGUCUAUUGCUCACAAAAGUAUAUAUAUAGAGUAUNN
rnacentral:lncRNA from 1 species